AUUACAGUAGAAUUAUUGUCUAUAUAUUAUUAUGAAAUGCUUAACACCCGGAUGUCUGUAUAUAAGUAGUUAAUAAGUGGUCGUCGUAUAACUUCAGAGUUUAAUGAUAUAGAUUUAUCUGGAAAACAAACUGAAUAUUACAUCUCAUUAAGAAUGGAUUGUUCUCAACAAUAUAAUUGCCAUGAAGAUGACCAAACAGCGAAGAAAGCCUUAUUCAUUUUCAACAUUGCCAUCAGCUCUGUUUUAGUGUUCGGAUAUAUUUUUCAUGUUUAUUUUUUAAGUAAAAUAAACGUCAAGGAUGUGGAAUGGCAGAAGAAGAUUUUAGUGUUAUGUUUAAUUUGUUUUAUUGUGUUAGUUUUGGUCGUGCUGAUUCAAGCCGUGAUCAAAUUGUCGGUGAUAUUCUACGGUUUCCUAACAGCUUUGUCGAUGCUUGGAUAUGUACUGUGGGGAGUGUUGCUUUUUAUCGGCUUACAAUGGAGACAGAUCGAGAUUGAAACAAGACAUGAUAAUUAUGAAAAACAGAUUCUUGUAUAAUGUUUACUGUUAGAGAAUAACGUCCGUGGAGCCAUAUAUUAUAUAGAUCCAGAAUAUUGAUUGGAAAAAGACAUUUAAUUUAUGCGAACGCCAAAUGACAAUAUGUUUUCAAUGAAUCGAACUAGCAUUAAACUUUACGAUGAGGGGAAUUUUCAUUAGAUCUACUACUUUAGUAUCUAAAAGACUUCCAAGUAUCAGUUUCAAAUUCAAAUCGAAGAUUGUGUUUUGCUUUCACUUUAACAUGUUAUCAUUAGUUUAAUAUUUUUUAAUUCUGAAACCAAAGAAAUAAAGAUAGCACACUUUUAUAA